UACGAAGGGGGCUAGCGUUGUUCGGAAUUACUGGGCGUAAAGCGCGCGCAGGCGGUCUUCCAAGUCAGUGGUGAAAGCCCGGAGCUCAACUCCGGAAUUGCCAUUGAAACUGUUGGACUUGAGGAUGAGAGAGGUGAGUGGAAUUCCCAGUGUAGAGGUGAAAUUCGUAGAUAUUGGGAAGAACACCGGUGGCGAAGGCGACCAACUGGACCGAUAUUGACGCUGAGGCACGAAAGCGUGGGUAGCAAACAGG
rnacentral:rRNA from 1 species